GCCUGGGUGGCUCAGUAGGUUAAGCAUCUGACUUCAGCUCAGGUCACGAUCUCACAGUUUGUGGGUUUGAGCCCCGCAUCAGGCU
rnacentral:tRNA from 1 species